AAGGUAAAUUCUUUUGAUUGACUUUUUCCAUUUGGUGCAUCUUCUUCCUAUCAAUGGCUGGUCACCUGAGAUCUGACACAGAGGUAAUAUAAUCCAGCUGGACUGCCAGACAGAAACAAUCCAGGGGAGGACUCCCAAGAGGCCCUGGGAGGUUAUGGGGCUACAGAAUAGGAGGAGCCACAGCUUGGAGGGGACUGCCCAGGAGAGCUGCCCAAUCCACAUUCACUGUGAGAUGCAGAAAUCACACCCAGAGAAGAGAAGAUACAUAUGGAAGGUGACCCAGCUGAAGAUGACAUUUUCCAACUGACAUUGGGAAUGCUCCCUAAUCGGGAGUCUGCUGCCUCAUGGCCCUAUUGAAAAUGCCCAGACUGUUCCUGAAGGAGCCCACUCACAAGACCACCCCUGGUUGAAGGAGCUCACUCACCC